CCUACGGGUGGCAGCAGGGAGGAAUAGUGGUCAAUGGGCGCGAGCCGGAACCAGCCAAGUAGCGUGAAGGAUGAAGGCCCGACGGGGGGUAAACUUCUGUUAUAAAGGAAUAAAGUGAGGCACGUGUGCCGUUUUGUAUGUACGUUAUGAAUAAGCAUCGGCUAACUCCGUGCCAGCAGCCGCGGUAAUACGGAGGAUGCGAGCGGUAUCCGGAUUUAUUGGGUGGAAAGGGUGCGUCGGCGGAAUCUCAAGUCAGCGGUAAAACUUCGGGGCUCAACCCCGGCUUGCCGUUGAAACUGGUGUUCUUGAGUGGGCGAGAAGUAUGCGGAAUGCGUUGUGUAGCGGUUAAAUGCAUAGCUAUCACGCCGAACUCCGAUUGCGAAGGCAGCAUACCGGAGCCCAACUGACGCUGAGGCACGAAAGCGUGGGUAUCGAACAGGAUUAGCUACCCCAGUAGUC
rnacentral:rRNA from 1 species